rnacentral:rRNA from 1 species
AUUGAACGCUGGCGGAAUGCUUUACACAUGCAAGUCGAACGGUAGAGGGGGCAACCCCUUGAGAGUGGCGAACGGGUGAGUAAUGUAUCGGAACGUGCCCAGUCGUGGGGGAUAACGUAGUGAAAAUUACGCUAAUACCGCAUACGAUCUAUGGAUGAAAGCGGGGGAUCGCAAGACCUCGCGCGAUUGGAGCGGCCGAUAUCAGAUUAGGUAGUUGGUGGGGUAAAGGCUCACCAAGCCAACGAUCUGUAGCUGGUCUGAGAGGACGACCAGCCACACUGGAACUGAGACACGGUCCAGACUCCUACGGGAGGCAGCAGUGGGGAAUUUUGGACAAUGGACGCAAGUCUGAUCCAGCCAUUCCGCGUGCAGGACGAAGGCCUUCGGGUUGUAAACUGCUUUUGUACGGAACGAAAAAGCUCUUAUUAAUACUAGGAGUCCAUGACGGUACCGUAAGAAUAAGCACCGGCUAACUACGUGCCAGCAGCCGCGGUAAUACGUAGGGUGCAAGCGUUAAUCGGAAUUACUGGGCGUAAAGCGUGCGCAGGCGGUUAUAUAAGACAGAUGUGAAAUCCCCGAGCUUAACUUGGGAACUGCAUUUGUGACUGUAUAGCUAGAGUACGGCAGAGGGGGAUGGAAUUCCGCGUGUAGCAGUGAAAUGCGUAGAUAUGCGGAGGAACACCGAUGGCGAAGGCAA